AAACUCUGGUUUCUUUUCAUAUCGUAUAAAUCUUUCGCCUUUUACUAAAGAUUUCCGUGGAGAGGAACAUUAUGAGUAUAAUCUAAUUUUUUGAUGCCCUGCCUUACGGUGGGGCU
rnacentral:snRNA from 1 species